GACGAACGCUGGCGGCGUGCUUAACACAUGCAAGUCGAACGGAAAGGCCCUGCUUUUGUGGGGUGCUCGAGUGGCGAACGGGUGAGUAACACGUGAGUAACCUGCCCUUGACUUUGGGAUAACUUCAGGAAACUGGGGCUAAUACCGGAUAGGAGCUCCUGCUGCAUGGUGGGGGUUGGAAAGUUUCGGCGGUUGGGGAUGGACUCGCGGCUUAUCAGCUUGUUGGUGGGGUAGUGGCUUACCAAGGCUUUGACGGGUAGCCGGCCUGAGAGGGUGACCGGCCACAUUGGGACUGAGAUACGGCCCAGACUCCUACGGGAGGCAGAAGGGGGGAAUAUUGCACAAUGGGCGGAAGCCUGAUGCAGCAACGCCGCGUGCGGGAUGACGGCCUUCGGGUUGUAAACCGAUUUCGCCUGUGACGAAGCGUGAGUGACGGUAAUGGGUAAAGAAGCACCGGCUAACUACGUG
rnacentral:rRNA from 1 species